UAAAAAAAAUAGCUAUAGCAUUAUAGGACAGUGUGCUAUAUACACUGUUGAAACUUAAGCAAGCAGAGCCUCGGUGCUUAACUGCUUACUUGAGCCAGCAUAGCCUUGUGCUUAUUCCAACUCAUAUACUGAACUCAGCUAAUUGCAACUCUUCUUCUUCUUCUUCUUACUCAAAAUGGCCUUCUUCUUCUUUUAGAAUUAAACCAAACCCACUCGUUCUACUGGAAGCGGAGGUCUAGAUUUGGUUGAUUUGGUCUAGCUAUCGGAUGACAAAAGGAUGCCGACGUCCAUUGCAACAAUACCCCCUGGCUCUGUGUAAGUCUCUUCAACAACAUAUGGUGCAAACUUCAUGUCCUUGCAAUUGAAAUCUGGGUUUGUAGAAAAUCUGUCUGAUUUCUUCUUCUUCUCCUUGAUUUGCUUAAAUUAGUAUUCAUUACUGAUAUUAUUCACCCUUCUUUUGGCCUGCUUAUUGCAAAAUGUAAAUUUGCCUUUGCUUCUUUGGAUUUCCUGUAUGUAUAGAACAAUUUUGUAUUUUGAUGGUGAUAAAUGAUAAUUGACUACCAUCUGGAUUUGAUUCUGCGGAAGCUGCUGCUAGUAAUAGGUCAAAUCGAUGAAUCCCAUACUUUGGUAUUUUGAUUCGAAACCAAAACGACGGAUUACAAACCGCUAGAUAAUUCGCCAAGUUUGGGUUCAGUGGAAAUUGCUCUCUACUCUAAAUUAGCGAAGAGAAUUCCUUUUAAUAUUUUGUCUAAAAUUUGUUAUCUUAGUGGCAAUAUGGUUCCAUUCCAAAUGAUCUAUGUCAUCUGAGCAAUCUGGGUGAGUUAAGACUUUUAGGGUCAGUACCAAGUUGCUUUGGGAAUCUUACCUCUCUAACAGCUUGAUAGCAAUAAUUUAACUUCAAGUAUGCCCUUAAGGAGGACAUGUUGGUUUUUAACUUGUCAUCAAAUUCACUAGGUGGCCAUCUGAAUUGGAAAUUUAGAGGUCAUAUAUCAAAUGGACUUGUCAAAGAAUCAUUUCUUUGGUGGUAUUCCAAGUGAGAUCGGUGCUCUCCAACAGUUGAUAAUUUAUCUCUCUUUGGCACAUAAUAAAUUCCAAGACCUAUACCAGGUUCAAUUGGGAGCACCUGGAUCUCUCCAACAGCAUACUCUCUGCUGUGAUUCCCAAGAUUGUAAAUGGUGCUCUGCAAGGAAAUUCUCCUUCUAGUCUGUUGUAAGACAGACUUGGGAACAGCUCUUUUAUGCACAAUCUUGGACCCUGCGGAGCUCCUCAGCUAGGCUUCAAUAAGAUUUCUGAAAUAUGUUUUACCGGCUACAGCUUCAGCAAUAUUGGUACUAGCCCUUGUAUAUGUGCUGGCAAGGCGGCAAAGAAAAAAGGAGAACAGUCCUUUCUCUACUCAACCUGAUUUGCUACAUAUAGCAACAUAUAGAAGGUUUUCAUAUCAGGAACUCAUGCAGGCUACAAAUGGAUUAGACGAAAGUAACCUACUUUUGGAUAUAGAGGGAUGCUUGAUAUGGCUGUUGCAGUAAAGGUAUUCAAUUUGCAACUAGUUUUGACGCAGAAUGUGAAGUUCUUUGAAGCAUUCGUCACAGAAAUCUUAUCAAAAUUAUCAACAGCUGUGCCAAUGUUGACGUCAAAGCAUUGGUGAUGGAGUUCAUGCCCAAUGGAAACCUUGAGGCAUUGUUGCACUCUAAUUCCUAUUGCUUGGAUAUGCUACAGAGGUUAAACAGUUUGAGUCUGGAUCACAGGGAAUAGUGUCUUAUGGAAUCAUGUUGAUGGAAACAUUUACAAGGAAGAAGCCCACAGGAGAAAUGUGCUUGAAAGAUUGGGAAUUAGACUCAUUGCAGAGUGGUGAGAUGAUGGAUUCCAAACACAAAUGAGAGUGAUCUCGCAGCUAAUGUGUAUAAUCUGUCAUGAGUUUGGCUUGUGAAAUGAGGAUCAACAUUCUACACAAGCUGAAGAAAAUAAAGGACAAGUAUGAAAAGAACAUGCAAGCCACUUGCAAAUUACCAUAAAAUCUUUUCUUUUUCUCUACAAAAGUGGAAUUCUUUUUGCUUCUAUAAUGGUUAAGCUACUAUAUAGUCUCAACUUAUGCUUACGUAAAACAAUUUAUUCCUCUAAAUUCUGGAGUGUACGAACUAGUUUUAGGAAAAGUGGUGUCCUUUGUAGUGCUAUGCAUCAGCUUCAAUAUAUAAUUGAAAUGAAAAUUUUUAUGAACCAAA